GCUCAGAUUAAACGCUGGCGGCAGGCCUAACACAUGCAAGUCGAGCGGUAGCACAAGAGAGCUUGCUCUCUGGGUGACGAGCGGCGGACGGGUGAGUAAUGUUUGGGAAACUGCCUGAUGGUGGGGGAUAACUAGUGGAAACGGUAGCUAAUACCGCAUAAUGUCGCAAGACCAAAGUGGGGGACCUUCGGGCCUCACGCCAUCAGAUGUGCCCAGAUGGGAUUAGCUGUUAGGUGGGGUAAUGGCUCACCUAGGCGACGAUCCCUAGCUGGUCUGAGAGGAUGACCAGCCACACUGGAACUGAGACACGGUCCAGACUCCUACGGGAGGCAGCAGUGGGGAAUAUUGCACAAUGGGCGCAAGCCUGAUGCAGCCAUGCCGCGUGUGUGAAGAAGGCCUUCGGGUUGUAAAGCACUUUCAGCGAGGAGGAAGGGUAAUGUGUU
rnacentral:rRNA from 1 species